GACAGAGGGUGCACACGUUGUUCGGAAUUACUGGGCGUAAAGCGCGUGUAUGCGGCCAUCUAAGUCGGGCGUGAAAUCCCACGGCUCAACCGUGGAAGUGCACUCGAAACUGGAUGGCUAGAGUCCUGGAGAGGAAGGUGGAAUGCUUGGUGUAGAGGUGAAAUUCGUAGAUAUCAAGCGGAACACCGGUGGCGAAGGCGGCCUUCUGGACAGUGACUGACGCUGAGGCGCGACAGCGUGGGGAGCAAACAGG
rnacentral:rRNA from 1 species